CAGAGCGAGGGCGCCGAGGGAGGAUCUGCCAUUCCCGGUGACGGCGCAACAGAGGAGGAGCGGAGCUAUUGUGCGCGCCGGACAAGGAGCUCAAAUCCUGCUCCGGGAGGCAACACACAGGAAGUAGCAGCUGAGCCAGAGGAGAUGCAUGGGAGGGAACGCAUCAUUGCCGUCCGCCUGACACCCCCGCUUCUUCUCCGCCGUCGGCGUCGUCCCCAUGAUUCAGCUGUUCUCUUGCCAGAUCUGAAUGAACAGGGCAUCUCAAAGUGGGUGCAUCUGCAUCGGGCAACCCAACGUCUUCACCAUGAUUGAGCUGAUCAAUCUUCACAUCUGAAUGAACAGGGCAUCCAUCCAUCUCAAAGCAACGCCAGCAAAGUAAGGAACGCUA